UACGAAGGGUGCAAGCGUUACUCGGAAUUACUGGGCGUAAAGCGUGCGCAGGCGGUUUUGUAAGUCUGUCGUGAAAUCCCCGGGCUCAACCUGGGAAUGGCGAUGGAGACUGCAAGGCUAGAAUCUGGCAGAGGGGGGUAGAAUUCCACGUGUAGCAGUGAAAUGCGUAGAGAUGUGGAGGAACACCGAUGGCGAAGGCAGCCCCCUGGGUCAAGAUUGACGCUCAUGCACGAAAGCGUGGGGAGCAAACAGG
rnacentral:rRNA from 1 species